rnacentral:rRNA from 1 species
GACGAACGCUGGCGGCAUGCCUAACACAUGCAAGUCGAACGGAAAGGUCCGGCCUGGAGGCGCACGGAUGCGUGAAGCGUGGAAUAAUGCGCUUGGGUUCGGCAUAACUCCCUGAAAGAGGUGCUAAUAACGGGUAAUAACACCGGACAAGAGGUUGCUCGCCGUUGGGUGGGCGCGCGUUGGAUUAGCUUGAUGGUAGGGUAAAAGGCUACCCAGGCGACGAGCCAUAGCUGGGCUGAGAGGAUGAUCAGCCACACUGGGACUGAGACACGGCCCAGACUCCGACGGGAGGCAGCAGAGUGGAAUACUGGACAAUGGGCGAAGGCCUGAUCCAGCGAGGCCGCUUGAGGGAUUAAGGUCGUAGGGUCGUAAAGCUCUUGUAGCCGGGAUUAUAAUGACAGUACCGGGAGAAUAAGCACCGGCUAACUCCGUG